GACGAACGCUGGCGGCGUGCUUAACACAUGCAAGUCGAACGAAGUGGCGAACGGGUGAGUAACGCGUAAUCAAACUGCCCUUCAGCGGGGGACAACAGUUGGAAACGACUGCUAAUCCCGCAUACUGAAGGAGGGGCUUCCGUCUGAUUAGCUAGUGGGGGGGGUAACGGCGCACCAAGGCGAUCAUCAGUCGCCGGUCUGAGAGGAUGAACGGCCACAUGGGGACAGAGACACGGCCCAGACUCCUACGGGAGGCAGCAGUGGGGAAACUUCCGCAAUGGACGAAAGUCUGACGGAGCAACGCCGCGUGAGUGAUGACGGCCUUCGGGUGGUAAAGCUCUGUUUAUCGGGACGCGGUACCGGAAUAGAAAGCCACGGCUAACUACGUGCCAGCAGCCGCGGUAAUAC
rnacentral:rRNA from 1 species